GACGAACGCUGGCGGCGUGCUUAACACAUGCAAGUCGAACGGAAAGGCCCUGCUUUUGUGGGGUGCUCGAGUGGCGAACGGGUGAGUAACACGUGAGUAACCUGCCCUUGACUUUGGGAUAACUUCAUGAAACUUGGGCUAAUACCGGAUAGGACCUCCUGCUGCAUGGUGGUGGUUGGAAAGUUUCGGCGUUUGGGGAUGGACUCGCGUCUUAUCAGCUUGUUGGUGGGGUAGUGGCUUACCAAGGCUUUGACGGGUAGCCGGCCUGAGAGGGUGACCGGCGACAUUGGGACUGAGAUACGGCCCAGACUCCUACGGGAGGCAGCAGUGGGGAAUAUUGCACAAUGGGCGGAAGCCUGAUGCAGCAACGCCGCGUGCGGGAUGACGGCCUUCGGGUUAUAAACCGCUUUCGCCUGUGACGAAGAGUGAGUGACGGUAAUGGGUAAAGAAGCACCGGCUAACUACGUG
rnacentral:rRNA from 1 species